rnacentral:rRNA from 1 species
UAAGGAAUAUUGCACAAUGGGCGAAAGCCUGAUGCAGCAACGCCGCGUGGAGGACGAAGGCCUUCGGGUCGUAAACUCCUUUUCUGGGGAACGAGGAAGGACGGUACCUCAGGAAUAAGUCUCGGCUAACUACGUGCCAGCAGCCGCGGUAAAACGUAGGAGGCGAGCGUUAUCCGGAUUUACUGGGCGUAAAGCGCACGCAGGCGGCUCUGUAAGUUGGACGUGAAAGCUCCUGGCUUAACUGGGAGAGGUCGUUCGAUACUGCGGGGCUUGAGGUUGGGAGAGGGGUGCGGAAUUCCCGGUGUAGUGGUGGAAUGCGUAGAUAUCGGGAGGAACACCAGUGGCGCAAGCGGCGCCCUGGCCCACACCUGACGCUGAGGUGCGAAAGCGUGGGGAGCAAACA